GGCCGUGCACGCUCACGACGGGCGUGCUCGCUUCCGCAAUUGCGGAUGGUCGUAGGUGUCAGCAGAACCACGGCUCAAUUUAGUGCAGGCAUGAAAUCUGUCAUCCUUCCCUGGUGUGGCCUAUAUGUGACUCCAGUUAGAGACAAGAAAACUGCAGAUGCUGGAAUCCACCCUUCUCCGUAAAUCUGUAGCGCCACCUACCCCUGCAUCUAGUCCUGAAAGAAGGUUGUACCCAAAACGUUGACUCACCUCCUGGUGCUGCCUGGCUUGCUGUGUUCUUCCAGCCCCCUGUUUGUCUACUGUAUAUGUGAUUCCAGAUCCAAAGUAAUAUGGUUGAGUGAACUGUUAACAAUUUGAGAUGGGCAAUAAAUGCUAGACAAAUCAUGAAUGAAUAAAACACAACAUUCAAGGACCUGAUCAAUGUCUGAAACAUGGUCAACUCAUGCUGGCGAUUCCCACCGUCAGGAGUAGCGACUUUGUCAGAGAGCCAUUGCUCAGGAAUCUUCAUUUCCACCAUCGCAAGUUCAAAUGGCUGAUGGAGGGGAGGACUGUGGCCAUGCUAGAGUUUGGGAACGUGCUGAAUGGCAAAGGCCUGGAUUGGAUGUUGCUGCAGGAAUUGGCAAGCAGGGUGUCAGUGGACGUCCAGCUCUCAACCAAAGCCGUCUGCUGCAUGAAAACAGCAGUGCUCAAACCUGAUGUCAUGCACCUGUUGGGAGGAUACUCAGCUGUGCAGUGGAAUCCUCUUUGGAUGGAAUUUCAUAUUGGCCCCAAGUUCCUGAACUUCCCUCACGGGUCUGUACUCCACAACCUGAGUCACUUCCUAAGUAUGACUAUGACUCUGCC